rnacentral:rRNA from 1 species
GUGCCAGCAGCCGCGGUAAUACGAAGGGGGCUAGCGUUGUUCGGAUUUACUGGGCGUAAAGCGCACGUAGGCGGAUUGGUCAGUUAGGGGUGAAAUCCCGGAGCUCAACUCCGGAACUGCCUUUAAUACUGCCAGUCUAGAGACCGGAAGAGGUGAGUGGAACUCCUAGUGUAGAGGUGGAAUUCGUAGAUAUUAGGAAGAACACCAGUGGCGAAGGCGGCUCACUGGUCCGGUACUGACGCUGAGGUGCGAAAGCGUGGGGAGCGAACAGGAUUAGAUACCCUGGUAGUCC